rnacentral:rRNA from 1 species
UACGGAGGGGGCUAGCGUUGUUCGGAAUUACUGGGCGUAAAGCGCACGUAGGCGGCUUUGUAAGUUAGAGGUGAAAGCCCAGGGCUUAACCCUGGAAUUGCCUUUAAGACUGCAUCGCUAGAAUUGUGGAGAGGUAAGUGGAAUUCCGAGUGUAGAGGUGAAAUUCGUAGAUAUUCGGAAGAACACCAGUGGCGAAGGCGACUUACUGGACACAUAUUGACGCUGAGGUGCGAAAGCGUGGGGAGCAAACA